UACAGAGGGUGCUAGCGUUGUUCGGAAUCAUUGGGCGUAAAGGGCGUGUAGGCGGUUUGUUAAGUCAUGUGUGAAAUCCCUCGGCUCAACCGGGGAAGGACGCAUGAAACUGGCAAGCUAGAGUACCAAAGAGGGGGGUGGAACUCCCGGUGUAGCGGUGAAAUGCGCAGAUAUCGGGAGGAACACCAAUGGCGAAGGCAGCUCGCUGGGACGGUACUGACGCUGAGACGCGAAAGCGUGGGGAGCAAACAGG
rnacentral:rRNA from 1 species